ACCACAGUCGAGAUUCAAAGGGGCGGGCCUGAAUGGGGGAGUGUCUCUUUAGAGCCCCUGGGGCGAUGCUGAAGAGUAAUUAGGUCCAGUGUGACCGGCACAACUUAAAGAUUAAAGCCUCGGAAGGACGAGUCUCCAGCUCCGACGGCAAGUGGGCGGAGCCUAGGCGGGGCGGGGCUUCGCGGAACUCCGAACUGAAGCCCAAAGGUGGAGCGCGCACGCCCUACAGCCUUUGGUGUCCUGGAUCUUGGUGGAGACCAUAUUCUUCCUAAAGAACGAGUAGGACCCUCGUCCGACGGAGAACGGAACUUGGGCUUUAGAGACAGAGAAGGAGCAUGAUGACCUCGGAGAGGGCAGCUUGCAACCCAACCCUGCCUCCACCAGGACGGAGUUAGCGGGGAGCUGACAUCCGCACGACCUCCUGCCGCCAUUCCCUCGGAUGCCCCCCAU